rnacentral:lncRNA from 1 species
GCCUCUUCCCUUUCCUGGAAUUGUUGGUUUUGCAGCAGCUGUUGAUGAACUAGCACCAAGUGUAUCACUCUUUGACAACCUCUUUUGUUGUGACCUCUCUCAUGACAAAGCCUACAUGUCAUAACUAGACCAAUUUUAGGCAAUUUGCCAGACAUCUUAGUUUCAUUUGCCUCUUUCGUUCUAACCUUUUUUGGUCUACCAGGCAUGAUUUUGACAAUUGGAGGUGCAACAGAAGGGUUGGCAGAUUCAGGCCACAUUGGCAUAUUACUCACUGGUUGGAUGAAAUUAGAAUAAGUUAACUUUUUCUAACACUCAAAGUAGUAGCAGGAAUAUUGAUGAAUGCAGAGAUACAUUAUCAACUGUCAUUAUCAGCAGAUACAUAAGUUAACAAGCAUAUCUCUUUGUUGUAGCAGCUAUCAAUGAAUUCAAUUGGUUCAACCUUGUCAUAAUACAUUGCACGUAUAGCAUGUGGACAUGGUAUCCCCUUUAGCAUCCAAGAAUAAGAUCCUCCUUUGGAGCCCUCUCCACUUCUUUGACCAAUUAGCUAAGAUGUGCC